rnacentral:rRNA from 1 species
GACGAACGCUGGCGGCGCGCUUAACACAUGCAAGUCGAACGGUAAGGAGCUGCUUUUGCGGCGUGACCGUGUGGCGCACGGGUGUGUCACAUGUGAGUCCUCUGCCUUAGAGUUUGGCAUAACUUGAGGAAACUGGGGCUAACCCCGGAUAGGAGCUGCUGCUCAUUGGCCGGGGUCGGAAGGUUUCGGCGGUUGGGGAUGGACUCGCGGCUUAUCAGCUUGUUGGUGGGGUAGUGGCUCACCAAGGCUUCGACGGGUAGCCGGACUGAGAGGGUGACCGGCCACAUUGGAUCUGAGAUGCGGCCCAGACUCCUACGGGAGGCAGCGGAGGGGAAGAGUGCACAAUGGGAGGAAGCCAGAUGCAGCAACGCCGCGUGCGGGAUGAGAGCCUGCGGGUUGUAAACCGCUUUCGCCUGUGACGAAGCGUGAGUGACGGUAAUGGGUAAAGAAGCACCGGCUAACUACGUG